CAGCAGCCGCGGUAAUACGUAGGGUGCAAGCGUUAAUCGGAAUUACUGGGCGUAAAGCGUGCGCAGGCGGUUUGUUAAGACAGAUGUGAAAUCCCCGGGCUCAACCUGGGAACUGCAUUUGUGACUGGCAGGCUAGAGUAUGGCAGAGGGGGGUGGAAUUCCGCGUGUAGCAGUGAAAUGCGUAGAUAUGCGGAGGAACACCGAUGGCGAAGGCAGCCCCCUGGGCCAAUACUGACGCUCAUGCACGAAAGCGUGGGGAGCAAACAGGAUUAGAUACCCGUGUAGUCCCUGUCUCUUAUAC
rnacentral:rRNA from 1 species